CCCGUUAUUCUUUGACGAAAGCCCUGUCGUUCCCGGCAGGUUUCAGACCCGAGGAGC
rnacentral:ncRNA from 1 species